CUACCCAAGACGAGUGAUGGGUUGGGGUUCAGAAGCCUGCACUCAGUUAACCUCACUAUGCUUGCAAGACAUGCAUGUAUGCUGCUACAAGCCCCAGAUUCCCUAUGCGUCUGAGUGCUGAAACCAAAGUACUACCCACCAGGGAGCAUUCUGACAACUGAGCCGUGUGCCAAUAGGUGUUACACACAGAAAAGCAUUCUUAAAGGCAUAUAUAUUGUGAAGGAGAGGUACAUCUGA
rnacentral:rRNA from 1 species